AGAGUUUGAUCCUGGCUCAGGAUGAACGCUAGCUACAGGCUUAACACAUGCAAGUCGAGGGGAAACGAUAUUGGAAGCUUGCUUCCGAUAGGCGUCGACCGGCGCACGGGUGAGUAACGCGUAUCCAACCUGCCCAUCACUUGGGGAUAACCUUGCGAAAGUAAGACUAAUACCCAAUGACGUCUCUAGAAGACAUCUGAAAGAGAUUAAAGAUUUAUCGGUGAUGGAUGGGGAUGCGUCUGAUUAGCUUGUUGGCGGGGUAACGGCCCACCAAGGCGACGAUCAGUAGGGGUUCUGAGAGGAAGGUCCCCCACAUUGGAACUGAGACACGGUCCAAACUCCUACGGGAGGCAGCAGUGAGGAAUAUUGGUCAAUGGACGAGAGUCUGAACCAGCCAAGUAGCGUGCAGGAUGACGGCCCUAUGGGUUGUAAACUGCUUUUAUAAGGGAAUAAAGUGAGUCUCGUGAGACUUUUUGCAUGUACCUUAUGAAUAAGGACCGGCUAAUUCCGUGCCAGCAGCCGCGGUAAUACGGAAGGUCCGGGCGUUAUCCGGAUUUAUUGGGUUUAAAGGGAGCGUAGGCCGGAGAUUAAGCGUGUUGUGAAAUGUAGACGCUCAACGUCUGCACUGCAGCGCGAACUGGUUUCCUUGAGUACGCACAAAGUGGGCGGAAUUCGUGGUGUAGCGGUGAAAUGCUUAGAUAUCACGAAGAACUCCGAUUGCGAAGGCAGCUCACUGGAGCGCAACUGACGCUGAAGCUCGAAAGUGCGGGUAUCGAACAGGAUUAGAUACCCUGGUAGUCCGCACGGUAAACGAUGGAUGCCCGCUGUUGGUCUGAAUAGGUCAGCGGCCAAGCGAAAGCAUUAAGCAUCCCACCUGGGGAGUACGCCGGCAACGGU
rnacentral:rRNA from 1 species